rnacentral:rRNA from 1 species
AGCAGCCGCGGUAAUUCCAGCUCCAAUAGCGUAUAUUAAAGUUGUUGCAGUUAAAAAGCUCGUAGUUGAACUUCAGGCCUGGCUGGACGGUCCGCCUUCUGGGUGAGUACUGUCUGUGGUCGGGUCCUACCUUCUGGCGAAGCGUCAUGGCCUUCACCGGCCGUGGCGGGGAGCCAGGACUUUUACUGUGAAAAAAUUAGAGUGUUCAAAGCAGGCACGCGCUUGAAUACAUUAGCAUGGAAUAAUGGAAUAGGACAGUGGUUCUAUUUGUUGGUUUCUAGGACCGUUGUAAUGAUUAAUAGGGAUAGUUGGGGGCAUUAGUAUUCAAUUGUCAGAGGUGAAAUUCUUGGAUUUAUUGAAGACUAACUACUGCGAAAGCAUUUGCCAAGGAUGUUUUCAUUAAUCAAGAACGAAAGUUAGGGGAUCGAAGACGAUCAGAUACCGUCGUAGUCUUAACCAUAAACUAUGCCGACUAGGGAUCGGAUGAUGUUAAUUUUUAAUGACUCAUUCGG